rnacentral:rRNA from 1 species
AUGAACGCUGGCGGCGUGCCUAAUACAUGCAAGUCGAGCGAACAGACGAGGAGCUUGCUCCUCUGACGUUAGCGGCGGACGAGUGAGUAACACGUGGAUAACCUACCUAUAAGACUGGGAUAACUUCGGGAAACCGGAGCUAAUACCGGAUAAUAUAUUGAACCGCAUGGUUCAAUAGUGAAAGACGGUUUUGCUGUCACUUAUAGAUGGAUCCGCGCCGCAUUAGCUAGUUGGUAAGGUAACGGCCUACCAAGGCAACGAUGCGUAGCCGACCUGAGAGGGUGAUCGGCCACACUGGAACUGAGACACGGUCCAGACUCCUACGGGAGGCAGCAGUAGGGAAUCUUCCGCAAUGGGCGAAAGCCUGACGGAGCAACGCCGCGUGAGUGAUGAAGGUCUUCGGAUCGUAAAACUCUGUUAUUAGGGAAGAACAAAUGUGUAAGUAACUAUGCACGUCUUGACGGUACCUAAUCAGAAAGCCACGGCUAACUACGUG